rnacentral:rRNA from 1 species
UUGACCUCGGAUCAGGUAGGGAUACCCGCUGAACUUAAGCAUAUCAAUAAGCGGAGGAAAAGAAACCAACCGGGAUUGCCUCAGUAACGGCGAGUGAAGCGGCAAGAGCUCAAAUUUGAAAUCUGGCCCCCUCGGGGUCCGAGUUGUAAUUUGCAGAGGAUGCUUCGGGUGCGGCCCCCGUCUAAGUGCCCUGGAACGGGCCGUCAUAGAGGGUGAGA